UCAGACCUCCCAAAACUGCCCUUUUUGAUCAGCGCAUCAGCUCUGCUGCCUCGAAGGUUGAAGUCAUCACAUCUUAUCAGCGUUCACUGAAUGCACAGCCAACCACCCGUGUAUCUCAGUGUAUACCAUCUAUACCAACACCAAGUUAAUGAAACUGAUGUUGCCUGACCACAAAGUCAAUUCAGCAUGUACCCUUGGGAUCCACAAAAGGCCGGAAAGGCAAAUGAGAAAGAUGAGAAAGCUGGCACGUUACAGCUGCGAGGCUAUUCGCACCAAAGUGAAGAGAUCUGCACCCUGGCACCAGAAAAUAGAAGAUAAGUUCAAAUUCAGUUUCAAAUACAAGUUAUAUAAAUUAAAAAAAUCAACCCAAAUCAGCACCUUUACUAGCAAAAAAGCACAACAAUUAUAUUUUGGAAAUCUUUUACAAAAAUCUUUUGCAAAUGGCAAAAAGUUUGAAUUCAAAAUUAAAGAAGCUGAAAACUCUACCCAUAAAAAUGGCCAUAAUAAUCUUCUUGUAUCCAAAAUCAAAAACAGUCACUUCCUCAAAAGAAAGUGGUUGUUUCCAGAUGAUCUUGCUGUUAUUAAGAAACCAAAAAGAAAUCCUGCCUAUCCAAACUCUAUCAUUCCUUUCCAUUCAAAGAUUCUCAACAUAUCCGGUAAUCAAAUUAUUUUUUUCUCUGAAGUUCAAAUUUUCAGUACACACAUUUUUUCCGAGAUGUUGACAGCAGCCGAAGCAAAGCAUCGAAAUAAAAUUUUACCAAAUUUACACCACAACAAACGUAAUAGUUGUAGUACAGAAAAGCAGCAAAAAAUGAAGCUGUUUAAGGAUAAAAGUGAAUCGAUAUCUCAACAGAAUAAAAAUGAAGAGAAAUUUUAUCAUUCAAUCAAAGAAAUGCAGAAAACAAUUCCAAGUGUUGAUGCAAACAGAUUUUUUCCAUUCCUCAAAGAGUACCUUCAGAUUCAUGAACAUAAGCAGUAUGCAUUUGCUAUUGCUGUCAUGAAACAUAGUAAAAAUAUCAUUGUUUCUCCAGCAUUUGAGCCAGAUUAUGAAAAAAAGGGAAAUCCUGGAAAAAUAAAGCACAGCGAGCCUCGUUUAUGUGAAGCUUUUGAACCUUUUUUGCAACGGAAUGGAAAUUUAGUGGAGACUAUUCUGAUUUACACAUUCAAUAGUCCAUGUUUAGGUUGUACUUCUCUACUUCUUGAAAAAGCUUAUCUCUGGCGCUGUAAAUAUGGAUUUUUCACGACUGUAGCAUUCACACAAUUUUACGGAUUGAGUGGACAAAAUUGUUUCCAAACUCUCACCUACUCAUCUACCAACAUGUUAGGUCCAUGCGGUGUGUUUUAUGAAGACAGUCAAAGAUGUAAGCGUGAUCACUUCAAACUGAAGUCUUUCACAGUCAACAGUAAAAUCUUCCAAAAUAUCAGAAAACUUAGUGAAAAAGAAGAAAAAGAGAGCUGCCGUAAGAAAAUUGAAUCUUAUGUGUCUGUGUUGAAAACACUGGCAAAAAAUUCAGUUUGUUCACGUGAAACACAUUUACAACGUGGUGAAAACACAAUUUAUUCUUUCGUAUUUCCCCCAAUGAUCCAAGAUGCAUGUAGAGACAGUCUUUUAAGGGACUGGUUAGUACUAGUGAACAACAGUGCCAUGUCAAACAUGAGAGAAAAAAUAACCCUGAAUUUUAAUGUUGCAGUAGUUGAAGUUAUUAACCAAAAUCUUAAGUCCUCUUGUGGGAACAACAGCCCUCUAAAGCUUUGCCACAUCCCUCUGAAUCUGUAAUGAUUGAGUCCACUCUAAAUAAAUAAUAAAUAAAAUAAUUUUAUGUCUCUGAGUUGAAAACACUGUACAAACACUGAACACAUGAAUUUCAAUUUCAUAGCAGUUGUGGGAACAAUAGUCCCUCUAAUUUAUAAAAUUAUAUAUCUAUAAAUCUAGAAUUGGAUGUAUAAUAAAUAAUGUAUAUUCAUUUAUUAAAAAUAAAUGAAAAAAUUAAAAACUUUUUUUUUUAAAAUAAAUAUUAAAUUAUAUAUCAUAAGAUAUAUGAUUUAAGACAUAUUUAUAUACAUCCAGAGUAACAGCCGUGAGGCUGCAGUUUGCCGCCUGUCAGGUAGUCAGUAAUCCAGGGGAGCUGAACUCUGAGAGCAAACAGCCUGGUGACUGUAGCGUGCCAAGUGGCUCACGUGGAUCUGUGGCUGAAUCUGGAGCUGAGACUGCAGGUGUUCAACGAUGACUCCUACGAGGCAGCAGAGCUGAUGCGCUGAUCAUUAAUGGCCGAGGCUGCUCACACCAAAGUGAGUGGCAGGAUUCUCCAGUCCAGUGAGCACAGCUCCAUCAGCUGGUGGAGUUCAGUCAACACACUUGUUCUCACCAACCAGCAGUGUGCUCAAACAUCGGUUUCUCCUCCAUCCUACACGAUGUUUUACAGUCAAGAAGCAGUAAAUCAGGAUUACAUCACCUCUCUGUAGAAGGAAACUUUCCUAGUGUCCUUAUUUUGGAUUCUUGUCUCCUUCUCAGUUCCUUCCUGAUGUGUGUGCUGGACUGGAUCCUCUGGCUCUGUGCCAUCCUUUACUUAUAAUAAAAAUCAUUGAAAUUUG